GGGUUGUGAGGUUAAGCGACUAAGCGUACACGGUGGAUGCCUAGGCAGUCAGAGGCGAUGAAGGGCGUGCUAAUCUGCGAUAAGCGACGGCAAGGUGAUAUGAACCGCAACACCCGUCGAUACCCGAAUGGGGAAACCCAGUGUGCUCCGGCACACUAUCAUUCACUGAAUUCAUAGGUGAAUGAGGCGAACCGGGGGAACUGAAACAUCUCAGUACCCCGAGGAAAAGAAAUCAACCGAGAUUCCCCCAGUAGCGGCGAGCGAACGGGGAGGAGCCCAGAACCCGCAUCGGCUUGUGUGUCAGUGGAAGCGCCUGGAAAGGCGCGCAGUAAAGGGUGACAGCCCCGUACACGAAGACGCAUAAGCCGGGAGUUCGAUGAGUAGGGCGGGACACGUGGUAUCCUGUCUGAACAUGGGGGGGACCAUCCUCCAAGGCUAAAURACUCCUG
rnacentral:rRNA from 1 species